UACAGAGGGGGCAAGCGUUGUUCGGAAUUACUGGGCGUAAAGGGCUCGUAGGCGGCCAACUAAGUCAGACGUGAAAUCCCUCGGCUUAACCGGGGAACUGCGUCUGAUACUGGAUGGCUAGAGGUUGGGAGAGGGAUGCGGAAUUCCAGGUGUAGCGGUGAAAUGCGUAGAUAUCUGGAGGAACACCGGUGGCGAAGGCGGCAUCCUGGACCGGUAUUGACGCUGAGGCGCGAAAGCCAGGGGAGCAAACGGG
rnacentral:rRNA from 1 species